UGGGGAAUAUUGGACAAUGGACCGAGAGUCUGAUCCAGCAAUUCUGUGUGCACGAUGAAGUUUUUCGGAAUGUAAAGUGCUUUCAGUUGGGAAGAAAGAAAUGACGGUACCAACAGAAGAAGUGACGGCUAAAUACGUGCCAGCAGCCGCGGUAAUACGUAUGUCACGAGCGUUAUCCGGAUUUAUUGGGCGUAAAGCGCGUCUAGGUGGUUAUAUAAGUCUGAUGUGAAAAUGCAGGGCUUAACUCUGUAUUGCGUUGGAAACUGUAUAACUAGAGUACUGGAGAGGUAAGCGGAACUACAAGUGUAGAGGUGAAAUUCGUAGAUAUUUGUAGGAAUGCCGAUGGGGAAGCCAGCUUACUGGACAGAUACUGACGCUGAAGCGCGAAAGCGUGGGUAGCAAACAGGAUUAGAUACCCUGGUAGUCCACGCUGUAAACGAUGAUUACUAGGUGUUGGGGGUCGAACCUCAGCGCCCAAGCAAACGCGAUAAGUAAUCCGCCUGGGGAGUACGUACGCAAGUAUG
rnacentral:rRNA from 1 species